CCCGCCGUGAAGAUGAGCUCGGCCGCCGGCUCCGCCGCCUUACCGCCGGGCUCCGCCACCCGGGCCUUGCAUGUGGAGCUGCCCUCGCAGCAGCGCCGGCUUCGUCAUCUUCGGAAUAUCGCUGCACGUAACAUUAUCAAUAAGAAUGGUUAUCGCCUCUUGGAUACAUACUUCACUCUCCACUUAUGUGAUAACACCAAGAUAUACAAAGAAUUUUAUAAGAGUGAGGUGAUCAAGAAUUCUCUGAAUCCGACAUGGAGGAGUCUGGACUUUGGAAUAAUGCCUGAUCGUCUUGAUACCUCUGUCUCUUGUUUUGUUGUGAGGAUCUGGGGUGGCAAGAAGGAGCACUUUCAGCUUUUGAUUGAAUGGAAGGUCAAUCUAGAUGGGUUAAAGUACUUGGGCCAGCAGAUACAUGCAAGAAACCCAAACGAGAUUAUUUUUGGUCUCAAUGAUGGUUAUUAUGGAGCUUCAUUUGAACAGAAGGAUCACUCAGGUACCCUGAAGAAUAGUCUUCUCCAGGUGGAUCAGAACUGUGUUCGUAACUCUUACGAUGUCUUCUCUUUGCUUAGGCUUCACAGAGCCCAGUGUGCAAUUAAACAGACUCAGGUAACUGUUCAGAAAAUAGGAAGGGAGAUUGAAGAAAAGCUGAGAUGUACAUCUACAAGCAAUGAACUGAAAAAAGAGAGUGAAUGUUUACAGUUGAAGAUCCUGGUGCUACGUAAUGAACUGGAGAGGCAGAAGAAGGCCCUUGGUCAAGAAGUAGCAUUGUUGCAUAAGGAAAAAAGUACUUUGCAUGACAGAGAAAAUGCAUUUGAGACUGAAUACCAGAAACUUCAAGAGCAUAACGAAUCCCUGCAUGAAUUAAGAAAGGAAUGCACUGCUAAGAGAGAACUGUUUUUGAAGACAAAUGCCCAGCAGACUAUUCGAUGCAAGCAAUUGCUAUCGGAGCUAUCCUAUAUCUACCCUAUUGAUCUGAAUGAUCAAAAGGAUUACUUUGUUUGUGGAGUCAAGCUUCCUAAUUCUGAAGACUUUCAAGCAAAAGAUGACGGAAGCAUUGCUGUUGCCCUGGGCUACACUGCUCACUUGGUUUCAAUGAUAUCCUACUUCUUGCAAGUGCCACUCAGGUAUCCUAUAAUUCACAAGGGCUCCCGGUCCACAAUCAAAGAUAAUAUCAAUGACAAACUGACGGAGAAAGAGCGAGAAUUUCCUUUAUAUCCAAAAGGAGGGGAGAAGCUUCAGUUUGAAUAUGGAGUAUAUCUUCUCAACAAAAAUAUAGCACAGCUUAGAUAUCAACAUGGGCUGAGUACUCCAGAUCUAAGGCAAACUCUUCCUAACCUGAAAAACUUCAUGGAGCUUGGACUAAUGGUUAGAUGUGAUCGACACCAUACAUCCAGUGCAAUUCCUGUUCCAAAGAGACAGAGCUCUAGCUUCGGCAGAUUGGAUAUUGGCUUUUCCAGUGGGCUUCCUUCUCCAGAUAAAGGACUCCGAAAACGAGCCAGCACGGGAAAUGAAAGACUACAGUACAAAACUCCUCCUCCUAGUUACAACUCUGCUUUAACACAGCCUGUUGCCAUCACAGCCCAUGUAGAAGAGUUAGAUAAAAAACCUGGAUCGAUAUCUUCUUCCUUGGAUACCUCUAUGGACUCCUCAAAAGGAAAUACCAAGAAAGGCAAGGACAUGUGCAGAAGUUUAAAUGGAGAGAACGGGAGCCUAAACAAUACCCAAGAGCGGCAGGAGUCUUUCCUAGGACAUACUAGUGCAAUAAAUGGGGCGUUUCUGCCUGGUGAGUGCUCUGGCACUGCAAGUAACGAGCAGCCCUGUGAGUUUCGACCCUCGCUCGGCCCUGUCCUUUGCUGCACUGUGGAGCAAGCAGAGGAGAUCAUGGGGAUGGAAGCGACAGGGUUCAGCACGGGGGAUCAGCUAGAAGACUUUAACUCCAUCCCGGUGGAGCAUGCUGUGGCAGUGGAGUGUGAUGAACAAGUCCUAGGGGAGUUUGAGGAGUUCUCUCGAAGGAUCUAUGCACUGAAUGAAAACAUGUCCAGCUUCCGCAGACCGCGUAAAAGUUCGGACAAGUGAGCUUGGACAGGGAUUUGAUAGCAGACAUUGAGGUGAAGUCAGUGAUCUGGAAUAGAGAUAAAAUUGCACUUAUUCUUUAUAUUAAUUAUAUAAAAUAAAAAAAAAAAGCUAAAGCUAUUCCUAUGGUGUUAGACAAAUGAACUUGAGCACGAUAACACAGGAUCAUGGUAUAUUCACAGCCCAGGAGUCUACUGCACAAGUCUUGGGAGGAGACUGUCCGCUAUACGGAGUCGCUGGUGGGAAGCAGUGUAAUGUGAAGAGCUACAGGGACUCUCCAGGCAUCAUCAGAGCAACAGCGCUCUGGCUUUCCGUCAUGUCUCCACCUGCCAGCAGUGGUACACGGUCUGUGUUCCAGUGCCAGAGGCAUCAUCUAAUUGCAGCAACCAACCCUCAGCUCCUGCAAGGUACCUGUCAGAAGGGGUUUGUGCUGUUACCUCGGGCGCAGGCAGUGCCAGCAAGACCUUCGUCCUGGUUUUGUGAGGGAGAUAACGCUCUUCAACGAAUAGCACUGAAAGCACCUAAUGCCUUUUAGUGAUGGUGCUUGAAACGUGAGCUGAGCCUAAACUGCUCAAAGUCAAUCUUGUCAGCUGUCUUACAUGAUGUUCACUACAGAUAAUGCUCCAGCGGUGAAUGCAGAGCUGAGCAGCUACGGAGGAGCUACAGGUCCCUCCUUAUGACCUGGCUGUGAUUGCCUUGGGGUGGGCAUCGCGUUGGAACAGCGUGUGUGGUGAGAUGGAUUAAAAGGAGGAAUUUCAGCUGCCGUGCUGGAAUUAAAAAGCAACUUUCUGUAAGCAAAUAAAGAGAGCAAAAGAAAAAUCUGCACAGCAUCUUACCAAAACAGCCUGUGAUCAGCUGUGGUAAACUCCACAAGCAGAUAAGACUUCAGAUAUCUCCAUUACCUCCUCAAGCGGAACGUAUCUCCCAAUCUUCCCAUGUCUACAUGAGGGUUGCAACACAGUGGGGUUACUACUCAAGCCCUUGACCUGCUGGUUAAUAAGCUGUUAUGAUGAGGUGUGAACUUGGCCUGGGACUUCUCCAUGCCCAUCUGGCACAUGGACAGCAUCUCUUCUGCUUCCACCUCCUCCCCUUGAUGAAACUGAUAUCUUAUAAAAACAGAUACAGCUUCUUUCCAUCCGAUGGGUCUCAGCUGGGAUUUUCAAACUACCAGUGGAAUUUGAACCUGGUUUUCUAAUCAGGCGAGGGGAAAACGUUGCUGUGUCCCAAAGAGGAAAUGUGAAGUGGCUCCGUGUGCGGGUUGAGUGGUGGGAGAGGAGCUGAGAAGUUCCCCAUCACAGGUGGAGCAAGAGCCAGAGGUGAUGCUGUUACAAAAAAGAGAUGGGAUGCAAAGAAGAGAGCAGGAAAGGUCUCAUUUUUACACAUCCGGUGCCAUAUGGUGAGAAGAAAUGCGUGCACACACAGCAAAUGUGCACUUGGUAUUAUUUAGGAAAAAUUUCAGAACAGUAGAAGUAGGAAGUAUUAGAAGAGGUGAUCCAAGGAGACUGAUCCCUGCUACUGGAGGGUGUGAGAACAAAGACAUACAGAGUAAACAGGACUGGAAGGGCCAGCUUUGAAGUUUGAUCUGAGGUUGCCCAGGGGUUUUUUUCAGGAGGGUUUUGAGUAUCUUCAAAGAUGGAGAUCCCCAACCUGGACCCCUGUUCCAGUGUUUGACCACCUUUGUGGGGAAAAGAUUUUCCUAAUGGGAAUUUCUUAUGUUCUAUCUUGGGCUGUUGACUCUCUUCCCAUCACUGAGCAUCUCCCAUGAAAGCCUGUGUCUCUCUCAUCUUUACACCGUCCCAGCUGGGAGUUGCAGACAGUGACAAAAUCCCCCUUUGCCUUCUACUCUCACUGCACACCCAGCUCUCAGCCUCUCCUUGCAUGCUCUGAGCUCCAGUCCCAACCAGCUUGGUGGCCUCACUGGGUUCUCUCACCAUCUGCCUGGUACUGGGGAGCCCAAACUGGUCCCAAUGCCCUGUUUGACAAGUGCUAAAUGGAGAGGGAGAAUUGCUUCCCUGGCCCUGCUGGCUCCACUCCUGCCACCACCACCCGUGGCACGGUUUGUCAUCUUUGUCCCAGGUUCUUUCCCCAAAAGCUGUUCUCCAGCCCAUCAGCCCCCAGCCUGUGCUACACCAUCCCCGAGAGAUGUCCCAUACUGAUACGAUCCUGUCUCAGCAACCGAGGGUGGUCUACGCAGGCUCCUGAACUCCUUUCCAGCUCUGUGUUUUUGUUCAUCCAAAUCGCACAUAUCUGUAAUUCCCUAAGAAUUCAAUAAAAAGCUCGGGAAAAGGUUGCUAUUCUUUCCUCCCCUGGUGGUUUUUAAAUUUUACACAUCUUAAACCCAAUUAAUUUGCUAGUCACUGGAAGCGUAGCAUCCUAUAUGGCUCCUGUGAGAAGAACACGUGAUAAAUUAGGAUUAUCACUUGCAAGAGCAGCGCAAUGGCACAAGAAUAAAUACGGUAACGUUUCCUUCUGAAGUGUGGGACCUUCUGUGGAGGACCAGCCACGAGCUCUGCAAAGAAAGCUAUUAACCACUGGACUUGAAAACAAUUCCUCACCGUGGUCUGCUGUCUGCUUCUCUUGGUAGCUUUCUGUUACGACAAAUGACACACGAUUGCUUUUCCUACAGGCUUGUGUUUUGUGUUGCAGAAGUGUCUAGAAGCAGCAGCUGAGGUGGAGAACCUCGUUCUUCCAGGGGCUGCCUGGUCACCUAGAAGGGGAUGGGGCUUUUCCUGGUGGCCACACCUAGCCUUCCCCUAGGAUAUGGGGAGCAGAGACUACUGUGGGAUUUGGCAAGGGAUGGAUCCAUAGGUGAGAGAGUCCUGUAAAAUUUGGUCUUUAAAAAUGCCUUAAAGGAAGGAACAGAAACCUGCUCAACCUAGAGGCAUAGACCUUCCUAGUCCAGGCUACUUCUGAUGACUCAGAAUAAAUCUAGGUCUUAAAAUUUCACUUUUCUAGGACUUGUACAUUCCCAAAUUGUUCCUUCUCUCUGCCCCGGGUCAUUCUUCAUCCUCUUCCUCAGCCACGUGAGGGGAAGAGGCUGCCACUGCCUGGAAGGGAGCACCAGACUGCUGGUCCCUAUAGCUUGGUGUGACGUCCAGGGGAAGGACUUACUUUUCGUCUGAGGGUGCAAUUUGCGUGCUUAGCUAUAAUUUAAACCCUGACCCUGGGGAAGUCAGAGCCAAGGACACUGGCUGGUGCCACACGGCUGUGGGGAGAGGGAUGGGUUGGAAACAGGAGUUUGGUUCAGCUCCAUCGUGUUUCCGUCAGGUCUCGGUUUAUAAAUAGUUCGGGUCAACCAUGUGCUUCUCUACUUUGACACUUUUGUAAGGCUGAAGACGCUUUGGGUUAUAUACUUAGAAACUUUCCUUUCCUGGCUGCCCCCGUCUCCCUGUCUGCCAGGAAAGUCCAGCACAAGAGUCAAAAAGGUGCCUGUCUGGAUUAACCGGGAACCUGCCACAGCCGGCGCUGAGCUUUGCCCAGGGCACGGCCUGGAUGAUACCGAGGAACUGGUAAAGCAAUGUGGGUCCUGGGUGCUGAGCUGCUCUCAGGGCUGGCUCCCAAAUGAGGGAGAGGAUGGGAGUGGGGUUUCUCUCCCAUCCUCAGCAGGGGGAAGCAAGCUGGGAAGUCAGGUAGGAGCGGUGCUUGCAAAGGAUAGUUAAACAUAUGGAAAUUAUUAACUGCAAAGUCACCAAAGCACGCAGAACUAUCUUCCUUUGCUGCAGAGAAAUGAUUUUUGCCUCCUGUCCUUGUGCGUUUCUCUGCUGAGCAGACGGGCAUUGCAAUGCCCGCCUGGCUGGCUGGCGGCUGCGUGGCCAAACUCCGGGGCUGGGGAGUCGUAUUUGCUCCAAGAGCUCUCUUCUUGCGGUAUUUGGGAUGCUGAGCAACUGAUGCACUUUCUGCCACCGGCUGGGUGAAACCGGCAUCACAGCAGCUGCUCCUGAAGGUGGGUGAGCACACUAAGGCUGGAGGGAAAGAGCUUGCCUGCAGAGAUGUUUGCAUUGCAGAUCACUGCAGUUUAACUGGUUAUUCUGGGCUCCAGUCAGAGCCACUGAAGAGAAGUGAGCAUGGGGUCCU